rnacentral:rRNA from 1 species
AUUGAACGCUGGCGGCAGGCCUAACACAUGCAAGUCGAGCGGAUGAAGGGAGCUUGCUCCUGGAUUCAGCGGCGGACGGGUGAGUAAUGCCUAGGAAUCUGCCUGGUAGUGGGGGAUAACGUCCGGAAACGGGCGCUAAUACCGCAUACGUCCUGAGGGAGAAAGUGGGGGAUCUUCGGACCUCACGCUAUCAGAUGAGCCUAGGUCGGAUUAGCUAGUUGGUGGGGUAAAGGCCUACCAAGGCGACGAUCCGUAACUGGUCUGAGAGGAUGAUCAGUCACACUGGAACUGAGACACGGUCCAGACUCCGACGGGAGGCAGCAGUGGGGAAUAUUGGACAAUGGGCGAAAGCCUGAUCCAGCCAUGCCGCGUGUGUGAAGAAGGUCUGCGGAUUGUAAAGCACUUUAAGUUGGGAGGAAGGGCAGUAAGUUAAUACCUUGCUGUUUUGACGUUACCAACAGAAUAAGCACCGGCUAACUUCGU